GUUUGAUCCUGGCUCAGAAUGAACGCUUGCGAUAGGCUUAACACAUGCAAGUUGAACAAGAGUGUAUUGCUUUUGUAGCGAACGGGUGCGUAAGGUGUAGGAAUUUACCUUUUUAAAAGAGUGAAAUACUUUGAGAAAACAUGUUGUUGUAAAAAGAUAAGCCUACAUAAGAUUAGAUAGUUGGUGUGGGAAGGGCGCACCAAGUCGAAGAUCUUUAGCUGAUCUUAGCGGAUGAUCAGCCACACUGGGACUGAGACACGGCCCAGGCUCCCAUGGGAGACAGCAGUGAGGAAUCAUGGACAAUGCACGAAAGUGUGAUCCUGCUAUAUCGCGUGAGUGAUGAAGGGUAUAUUGCUUGUAAAACUCUUUCAGCAAGAACAUGCUUGCAUGUAUAUGGAUAGUGACGUGUCUUGCAGAAGAAGCCCCGGCUAAUAUCUGUGCCAGCAGCCGCGGUAAUACAGAAGGGGCAAGUGUUAUUCGGAAUAAUUGGGCGUAAAUGGCGUGUAGGUUGUGUUUCGUAGCUUUUUGUUAAAUCCUUAUUGAUAUAAUAAGUAAAGCGAAAAGAACGGUUACACUGGAGACUGAGAGGGGAAAGGGGAAUUUCUAGUGGAGAAGUUAAAUUCUUAGAUAUUAGAAGGAACACCGAAAGCGAAAGCACCUUUCUGGCUCAGAUCUGACACUGAGGCGCGAAGGCGUGGGGAGCGAAGCCGAUUAGAUACCGGCGUAGUCCACGCAGUCAACGAUGCU
rnacentral:rRNA from 1 species